rnacentral:lncRNA from 1 species
AAAACAGCCUGAGAAUGAAACUGACACACAGAGGGAAAAUCCUAAAGAAUCAUAAACACUGAGCCUGAGCCCCAAUUCAAACUAUGCCUGAAGCCCAUCUGAGCUCUAGAUUUUUUUUAAAUUUAUAUUGAUCAACGUUUGGUAACAGUUUAAGCCUGUUUGAAAUGGGUUUCCUGUUACAUGCAGGCAAGUUCUGUUAGAAAAGGCAAAUCAAAGCUAUAAAUAUGAAUUUGCAUAUUGCAGUAGAUGUGAGUGCAAGUUUAAACAGAAAAAAAUAAUUGUUCAUUUCAUUUCUGGUUUAUUAAUUAUAUAGUACCUUAACUUUCCCCACAGCUUCAAUAUAUAAUUGGUUUUCCUUUUAACUUCCCUCAGUAAAAAUAUACUGGCCUCUCUUGAGAAGUUCCUCUCAGAGCCCCAAGGAGAGAUAGUUGGGUCUAGAAAGCAGAUGUUUACCCAGCCAUGUAGUGAAGGACUGCAGUCUUUCCCACAUCUUGCUGUGUGGAACGAACUCAAGAUCCAAGAGUGGCCUAAGCUGCCUAUCCAUUAUAACCAUUUUCUCAAUCUCAUCAAGUUAUUCCUCCUCCCAAGCAUAAGAUUGAAUGAGUGUAAGAGAAGAUGGGUAGAACUUUCUUCCAAACAUUUUU